CCCUUAGAUGUCCGGGGCCGCACGCGCGCUACACUGAAGGAAUCAGCGUGGCUUUCUCCCUGACCCGAAAGGGUUGGGAAACCCGUUGAAUCUCCUUCGUGAUAGGGAUUGGGGCUUGAAAUUGUUCCCCAUGAACGAGGAAUUCCCAGUAAGCGCGAGUCAUAAGCUCGCGUUGAUUACGUCCCUGCUCUUUGUACACACCGCCCGUCGCUACUACCGAUUGAACGGUUUAGUGAGGGCCUCGGAUUGGUCUCGGCCCGCUCUUUACCGGGCGGCGCCGUUGGUCGAGAAGACGCUCGAACUUGAUCGUUUAGAGGAAGUAAAAGUCGUAACA
rnacentral:rRNA from 1 species